GGAAGUAGUACACCUGGGUGGUAUUUUUGUUGAUGAAUUCCACACAUAUAUUCGAAAUGCUAACAACAGUUGAACUAGUAUUUGCUAGUUCAACUGCAAAAUAUUAUAUAAUCUUUAGUAAUUCACAACAAAAACGUACCUAGUGUAUUCCCACAGAGUGGGGUCUUGGGAGGGUAGAGUAUACGUAAUCCUUACCACUACCUCAAAGGCGACGUAGAGAGGCAGUUUCCAAUAGACCCCGACUCAAGACAAAAUACAAUCUAGAAAAAGAUGUGAUCAACAACAACAACAAAAAACCUAGUGUAUUCCCACACAGUGAGGUCUGGGGAGGGUAAGAUGUACGCAGUCCAUACCACUACCUCCGGAGAAGUAGCAAGGCUGUUUCCGAUAGACCCCCGGCUCAAGAUAAGAUAGAAAAAGAUGUGAUAAAGGUACAAAAAAACAAUAGGGAGUAACACAGCAAUAGAUAGCAACAUAACAAUACUACCACAACAUAAUACUACACGUGAUCUACCCGAAACACCAUUUACCAACAUAAAUCCACGAAAAGGAAACUCCAAACGUAGCACUAUAACUACUAAUAAGGACAACACUCCUACCUGCCUUCUAACUUUCUACACUAAUUCGCUUCUGCCACACCUUCCUAUCUAUUGUCAUGUCCUUGGUAAGCCGUGACUGCGUCAUACCCUGUCUAAUCACCUCUUCCUAAUAUUUCAUCGAUUCACCUCUACCUUUCUUGAACCCAUCUAUAGCUAACCUCUUGCACCUCUGCACUAGGGCAUCCGCUUGUAAGUUUCUAUGGCCCACAUAAUUAAUUUAUUUGUUGAUUUAAUAAUAAUUGAAUAAGUUAAAUCCUAAAUUUGUAUGGAGAAGUUACCUAGUAGGAUUAAACUACUGACUACUCUGUUAGUGGGAUAACUACUCAAGUGGGAUAAUUGUUAUAUCCCACAAAUCACGUUGAUGGAACGUGAAAACAUAACUGACUAUUCCCUGUAUUAUAAAAGGGGUCCUCUCUAUGCCAAAAGAAGAAUAAGCUCCAUCAAAUAUUAUUCUGAAACGUAAGGUAAAGAGAGAGAAACAAUACCUCUGUUUUUUGUGCUUCCGCUAAUAUGGAGAAUUCAGGGAAGUAAUUCUAUUGCUGAAUUACUGCAAUAUUGUUUAUGUGAAAAUCAUGUAGUUCCACGUUUCUGAAUUAUUGGUAGGAUUACAUAUUAGAUUGCUUAGAUUAUACAAUCUGUUAAAUCCAUGUGGUAUCUGAGCAAGAUUUAGGAACUAAUGAUUUUCCAUUGAGAUUUAAGUUUUCUAUUAAUUUUGUGAACCCUAUUAUGAAAUUUGGGACUCAAAUUUAUCAUAAUCUAAGUUAUUAUAAAUUAUAGUGGAUGAAUAUGUGAUGGCUUAAGGCAAAAUUCUUCAAUCAUAAUUUGUUCAAUAUUAUGUUUAGAUACGUAUAUGACGGCAGGAAAGAAUAAACAAAUUUGGUCAUAUUUUAAGCACUAAUAGAUUCUUACCUUUGAGAAUAGGUAGUAGAGAUGCUGAUGGCCCAUAUGAAAUCCUUUUGAAUUUGAAUUCAUUGGAAAGCAUAAUUGUGUUUAAUACAGUGAUAAUACGUAAGAUACGUACUGCUCCUUGUUUAAUGUAAACAGAAACUUAGUGAAUAAUUUAUUUAAUGUGGGUUUAGUUUAUUAUGUUUGAUCUUUGUUAUUCUAAAUAUCACGGAAACAACUCUUUGUUGUUAUAAUAUUAUAGUAUUUAAAAAUAAAAUUUAUUGUUUCUUAAUGUGACUUGGAAUUAUAUAUGUAAGAUUCGUUAAUCACCAAAGUAGUUGAAUCUUUAUGAAAUUAAUUUCAAAAUAAAGAUUAAAUUUAAAUUAAUUGCCUAUUAAUCUUGAUGCUUAUAAAUGAUGUACCAAUUAUGGGUAAAUUAAAAUUUUGGUUAUAAGACAUUUGUGGAUCACCCAAAGGUUGAUUGUUUGUUCGUAUGACCAAUAAAUAUGAAAGAGAUAAUUUUGAUGUAUCAUUAGUUUUAUUUAUUUAUCCAAAGAUGAUAAAUAUUAUUAAUUGAUGCAUUAAAUAUUAUCGUUUUGUGUUAAAUAUACUUUUAAGCAUCAUUAUGUUUAAAGUUGUAUUUUGAUGUUUCGCCCAAAGGAGAACAUCAAUAUGCAUUUAAGUAAAUCAUUUCUAAAUUUGAUAAUGUGUUUAAACUCAUAACUCAAAGGAUUAACAAAUGAGCAUGUUCUACUUGCAGCAUUAGCUCUUCAUUCGCACUCUACCUCUGUUACGACUUUUAACAGACUUAACUUUUUAGAUUGGUGCGAACAGAUCAGAUUCCAUUUUGGGGUUUUAGAUCUUGAUGUUGCACUUUACUUUGAGAAGUCAACUGCUAUUACUGAAGCUAGCAAUGAUGAAGAAAAGUCCUAUUAUAAGCAUUGGGAUCGGUCUAACAGAUUAGGCCUAAUGUUUAUGCUAAUGAAUAUUGCGGGCAACAUUAAGACUACUCUUCCCAAAACUGAAAGUGCAAAAGAACUUCUGAAACUUGUAAAAGAAUCUUCCCAAACUGCUGAGAAGUCUCUUGCUGGGACACUAAUGGGUACCUUGACCACCAUGAAGUUUGAUGGUUCAUGUACUAUGCAUGAGCAUGUCAUUGAAAUGACAAACAUAGCAGCAAGACUUAAGUCUUUGGGAAUGGAAGUGGAAUAAAAUUUCCUUGUGUAGUUCAUCAUCAACUCAUUACCGUCUGAGUAUGGUCCUUUUCAAAUGAACUACAACACCAUGAAAGACAAAUGAAAUGUGCAUGAAUUGCAUAGUAUGUUGGUUCAAGAGGAAAUGAGACUGAAGAAUCAAGGAACCCACUCCAUUAACUUUGUAAAUCAUCAAGAAGCUGAAAAGAAAGGAAAAAAAAUGGUAAGGGACAACAGAAGCAACUUAAUGUUAAUGAGUCCUCAUCUCAAGUACGUAAGAAAGGAAACAAGAAUGGUAAGUGUCAUUUCUGUGGAAAAUCUGGACACUUUCAGAAAGAUUGUCUGAAACGUAAGGCAUGGUUUGAGAAGAAAGGUAAGCCUAGUGCUUUUACACGUAUCGAAUCAAAUUUAACUGAAGUUCCUUAUAAUACUUGGUGGAUUGACUCUGGUUGUACUAUUCAUGUUUUCUAGUACUAUUGAUAAAGAAAUGGACCUUGGGCCUAACUCAACUUCAAAAGCUAGCUUAUGAGGAGAGGAUUGCUCAAGACCAUAUAAGGAGACUAAGGACCCUUUAACCCACCGAUGUGGAACUCCAACACCCUCCGCACGCCUAGGGCUGGAACGUGGACAAUAUAAGACGGGGGGCCCAACAUCGAAAACAAUGAACUUGGUGGGCCUGGCUCUGAUACCAUGAUAAAGAAAUGGACCUUAGGCCUAACUCAACCUCAAAAGCUAGCUCAUGAGGAGAGAAUUGCCCAAGACCAUAUAAAGAGAUCAAGGACCCUUUAACCCAUCGAUGUGGGACUCCAACACCGCCCACAUGCCCAGGGAUGGAGCGUGAACAAUAUAAGACGGGGGGCCCAACAUUGGAAACAAUGAACUCGGUGAACCUGACUUUGAUACUAUGUGAGAAAUAAUGGAGAAAAAUAUUAUCGAAUUGUUGUCCCUAAAUUAUUACAUUGAGACCCUAUUUAUAGACACUACAUUCCAAUCCUAUUUCUAAUAGGACACUACAUUACAAUAUCUUUCCAAGUAGAAUUCAAUAUGUUAUUCCUAUUCCUAUUCUAACAACUAUGCAGGGAUUCCUUACAAUCCGAACCAUCAACAAGAAUGAAAGAUAUGUUUACAUGGGGAAUAGAGUGAAGGCUCCAGUUAAAGCUGUCGGGACUUAUCGUCUGAUUCUCGAUGCUGGGCGUCACUUAGAUUUAGUUGAAAUUUUUUAUGUUCCUUCUCUUUCGAGAAAUUUAGCUUCUUUGUCUGAGUUAGAUAAGACUGGAUAUUCCUUUAAUUUCGGGAAUGGAUGUUUUAGUUUGUUUAAACAUAAUUAUCUCAUUGGUACUGGUACUCUUUGUGGUAACUUAUACAAACUGAAUCUUGAUAAUCUGUUUGUCGAAACGCUCUUAACUCUGUAUCAUAAUGUUGGAACCAAACGAAGUUUGGUGAAUGAACAAUCUGCUUACUUGUGGCAUAAACGUUUAGGUCACAUAUCUAAAGAAAGGCUGGAAAGAUUAAUUAAGAAUGAAAUUCUUCCAGAUUUAGAUUUUACUGACCUUAAUAUUUGUGUAGAUUGUAUUAAAGGAAAACAAACAAGACACACAAAGAAAAGAGCCCCAAGCACACAACUUCUUGAAAUUAUACACUGAUAUAUGUGGUCUUUUUGAUAUCACAUCUUUCAAUAAAGAAAAAUAUUUUAUCACUUUUAUUAAUGACUUUUCACGUUAUGGAUAUAUCUAUUUGUUGGAUGAAAAAUCUCAAGCGAUUAAUGCCUUAAAAGUAUUUAUUACUAAGGUUGAAAGACAAUUAGAUAGAAAGGUAAAAAUAAUCAGGCCUGAUAGAGGUGGUGAAUAUUAUGGAAGAAAUGAUGAAAGUGGACAACACCCAGGUCCAUUUGCUAAAUCCCUCGAAAAAUAUGGCAUGUGUGCUCAAUACACAAUGUUUGGCACACCACAACAAAAUGGUGUGGCAGAAAGACGUAAUCGUACAUUAAUAGAUAUGGUUCGGAUUAUGUUAAGUAAUUCAUCUUUACCUCCUUCGUUAUGUAUGUAUGCUUUAAGGACUGUCGUUUAUUUGCUAAAUAGGGUUCCUAGUAAAGUAGUUUCAAAGACACCUUUUGAACUGUGGACUGGUAGGAAACCUAGUUUGAGGCACCUACAUGUUUGGGGUUGCCCGACAGAAGUUGGAGUAUACAAUCCACAAGAAAAGAAACUGGAUUCAAGAACAACCAGUGACUUCUUCAUUGGUUAUCCAGAAAAAUCAAAGGGGAAUAGAUUUUACUGUCCUAAUCAUAGUACGAGAAUAGUUGAAACUAGAAACGCUAGGUUCAUUGAGAAUGGCGAGGUUAGUGGGAGUGAAGAACCACAUAAUGUGGAAAUUAAAGAAGCUAGGGUGCGAAUUCCUCUACCCUGUACUUCUUUUAGAUUUGUUGUUCCUGAAGUUGUUGCACAACAAAGUAAUCAACAAGAACAACAAAUUAAUGUUCCUACCAAUCAUAAUGAAGCCAUAAUUGAUGAACCACAAGAAGUAGCAUCAAGAAGAUCUCAAAGACAACGAAGAUCUGCUAUUUCUGAUGAUUAUUUGGUAUAUCUACAUGAGUCAGAAACUGACUUGGGAAUUGAUAAUGAUCCAGUUUUAUUUUCACAAGCCAUUGAAAGCAAUAAUUCUGAUAAAUGGAUAUAUACUAUGAAAGAUGAGUUAAAAUCUAUGAAACAGAAUGAAGUUUGGGACCUUGUUGAAUUACCCGAAGGUUUCAAAAGAGUUGGGUGUAAAUGGGUCUUUAAGACCAAACGCGACUAAACUGCCAAUAUCGAACGUCAGAAGGCCAGACUUGUUGCCAAAGGUUUCACUCAAAAGGAUGACAUUGACUAUAAAGAAACGUUUUCACCUGUCUCUAGAAAAGAUUCACUUAGAAUUAUAAUGGCCUUGGUAGCUUAUUAUGACUUAGAGCUACAUCAAAUGGAUGUGAAAACAGCUUUUUUGAAUGGAAAUUUGGAGGAAGAAGUUUAUAUGAAUCAACCUGAGGGAUUUUUUAUUAAAGGAAAGGAACACAUGGUGUGUAAACUUGAGAAGUCAAUAUACGUACUUAAACAAGCUUCCCGACAUGGUAUCUUAAGUUUAAUGAAACGAUUGUACCUUUGGAUUUAAAGAAAACACUAUUGAUCAGUGUAUAUAUCUAAAGGUCAGUGGGAGUAAGUUUAUUAUGUUAGUCUUGUAUGUUGAUGAUAUCUUGCUUACUGCUAAUGAUCUUGGUUUAUUGCAUGAUACCAAGAAAUAUCUCUCUAAUAACUUUGAAAUGAAAAAUAUGGGAGAGGCAUCCUAUGUGAUUGGAAUAGAAAUAUUUCGAGAUAGAUCACAAGGAUUGUUGGGAUUGUCUCAGGAAACCUAUAUUAAUAAAGUAUUAGAGAGAUUUAGAAUGGAAAAAUGCUCAUCAAGUCUUGUUCUAAUAAGUUUAGUCUCAAUCGAUGUCCAAAGAAUAACUUGGAACGAAAACAAAUGAAAGAUAUUCCUUAUGCAUCAAUAGUUGGGAGUCUAAUGUAUGCCCAAACAUGUACAAGACCAGACAUCAGUUUUGUUGUUGGAAUGCUGGGCCGAUAUCAAAGUAAUCCUGGAAUGGAUCACUGGAAUGCUGCAAAGAAAGUGUUGCGAUACUUACCAGGAACGAAAGAUCAUAUGCUCACUUAUAGAAGAUUUGAUGAUCUAGAUGUGGUUAGAUAUUCAGAUUCAGAUUAUGCUGGUUGUGUGGAUACAAGAAAAUCCACAUUUGGAUAUUUGUUUCUGUUAGGUGGAGGAGCAAUAUCAUGUAAGAGUGUGAAGCAGUCUGUUAUAACUGCAUCCACUAUGAAAGCUGAGUUUGUGGCAUGCUUUGAGGCCACAGUCCAGGCUAAUUGGUUGCGGAAUUUUAUUUCGAGACUUGGACUAGUCGACAAUAUAGCUAGGCCGUUGUGAUAAUACCGCUGCAAUUUUCUUCUCUAAAAAUGAUAAGUAUUCAAAAGGUGCUAAGUAUAUGGAAUUGAAAUACUUUUCGGUUAAAGAAGUCCAGAAACAUAAAGUGUCAAUUGAAUAGAUUAGCACCAAGCUGAUGAUUGCUGAUCCUUUGACGAAAGGAUUACCGCCCAAAACCUUUGUUGAACAUGUUGGAAGGAUGGGUCUUAUUGAUAGCAAUGAAUAAUUUUAUGUAAAGACUUUAUUAUGUUUAUGUAAUUGACACUUUGAGCUCAAAUUAUAUAUGUUUCUAUUGUUACCUGUUUUCUCUUGUAUACAUAAUAUUGUGAAUGAUGAUGAUAGGUUCUGACUUAGAUGAAAAGUAUUAUUAUUGGACCUAUUAUGUAUUUGAAAGGUUAUGUUAGGUAAUAGACUAAUAUUGUAGUACAUGGAAGGAAUUAUGUCAAGUAAAGUGACGUACAACUGCCAUGACUCAUUUUAGUUGAUUUAUUUAAUAAUGAAAAAUGAUGUUGGAUUUAACGUUAAUUGUGCAGAUGAUUGACGUACAUAUUAAACCACUAAAUUAACAUUGUGUGUGCCAAAUGGGAGCAUGUAAGUUUCUAUGGCCCACAUCAAUAACAACAACAACAGACCCAGUGUAUUCCCACAAAGUGAUUUCUAUGGCCCACAUAAUUAAUUUAUAUGCUGGUUUAAUAAUAAUUGAAUAAGAUAAAUCUUAAAUCUGUAUGGGGUAGUUACCUAGUAGGAUUAAACUACUGACUACUCU
rnacentral:lncRNA from 1 species